rnacentral:rRNA from 1 species
UGCGUAGGUGGUUUCUUAAGUCAGAGGUGAAAGGCUAUGGCUCAACCGUAGUAAGCCUUUGAAACUGGGAAACUUGAGUGCAGGAGAGGAGAGUGGAAUUCCUAGUGUAGCGGUGAAAUGCGUAGAUAUUAGGAGGAACACCAGUUGCGAAGGCGGCUCUCUGGACUGUAACUGACACUGAGGCACGAAAGCGUGGGGAGCAAACA